AUGAUUGAAAACAUCGUGUUCAUACCUUGGUUUCUACUUUCUGAAAAACUUGAAUGCUCACUUAUAGUCCAUAUGAAGAUUGAAAUCUGUAAUCAUGGAAUAGUUUUGUUGGAGCUUCUCACUGGAAAGUUGCCUUAUGUUAAGAGUUUGAAGGAUCUAUCUGAAGUUGUUUUCUUCUGUAAUGUCGGUGUUCUAUUGCGUUCCCAUUCUUGGUCACAGGCGCAGCUGCAUCAAAUGAGUUUAGUUCAACAAAACCAAAGAUUUUGA